rnacentral:rRNA from 1 species
GAUGUAACGCUGGCGGCGUGCCUAACACAUGCAAGUCGAACGAAGCACUUCGAUUUCCUCGGAAUGAGAAAGUGACUGAGUGGCGGACGGGUGAGUAACGCGUGGGUAACCUGCCUCAUACAGGGGGAUAACAGUUAGAAAUGACUGCUAAUACCGCAUAAGCGCACAGUAUCGCAUGAUACAGUGUGAAAAACUCCGGUGGUAUGAGAUGGACCCGCGUCUGAUUAGCUAGUUGGUAAGGUAACGGCUUACCAAGGCGACGAUCAGUAGCCGGCCUGAGAGGGUGAUCGGCCACAUUGGGACUGAGACACGGACCCAA